rnacentral:piRNA from 1 species
UCCCAAAUGUAUGACGAUAAAGACAGCUGU